UACGAAGGGGGCUAGCGUUGCUCGGAAUCACUGGGCGUAAAGCGCACGUAGGCGGCUUUUUAAGUCAGGGGUGAAAUCCUGGAGCUCAACUCCAGAACUGCCUUUGAUACUGAGAAGCUUGAGUCCGGGAGAGGUGAGUGGAACUGCGAGUGUAGAGGUGAAAUUCGUAGAUAUCGAGAAGAACACCGGUGGCGAAGGCGGCCAUCUGGACGGUGACUGACGCUGAGACGCGAAAGCGUGGGGAGCAAACAGG
rnacentral:rRNA from 1 species